rnacentral:rRNA from 1 species
GACGAACGCUGGCGGCGUGCUUAACACAUGCAAGUCGAACGGAAAGGCCCUGCUUGCAGGGUACUCGAGUGGCGAACGGGUGAGUAACACGUGGGUGAUCUGCCCUGCACUUCGGGAUAAGCUUGGGAAACUGGGUCUAAUACCGGAUAGGAACCAUCUUUAGUGUGGUGGUUGGAAAGUUUUUUCGGUGUAGGAUGAGCUCGCGGCCUAUCAGCUUGUUGGCGGGGUAAUGGCCUACCAAGGCGGCGACGGGUAGCCGGCCUGAGAGGGUGUACGGCCACAUUGGGACUGAGAUACGGCCCAGACUCCUACGGGAGGCAGCAGUGGGGAAUAUUGCACAAUGGGCGCAAGCCUGAUGCAGCGACGCCGCGUGGGGGAUGAAGGCCUUCGGGUUGUAAACUCCUUUCGCUAGGGACGAAGCUUUGUUGUGACGGUACCUAGAUAAGAAGCACCGGCUAACUACGUG